GCAUUAAUGGGGUAGUGGUAACCUGGGUCGUUGCCAUGCUUCGACUAGUUCGACCCGCCGGGAGUUCGAUUCUCUCUUAAUGCA